CUUUGUUGCUUUUUGACUGACUGUUUACUUUUUGACUUGCAGAUCAUUCUUGUUGUGAGCAUCGUUGCUUUUUAGAGCUUCAAUAUUUGUUUCUUGCUCUCUUUCUUUUGCCAUUGGUGAAACAAUUUUGUGCAACAAUUUUUCAAUUAUGUCACCAUGCUUAUUUGUUUGUUAUAUUUCCUCUUUUUGCACCAUUCCUUCUUCAAUUUGUUGCUUCCUUGAUUCUAAAACUGGUUUGACAUUUUCUUUUUCUUUCUUUUAAUUGCUAUUGGUGGUUGUAGUGUCCGACAUCUUUUCUUCUACCUCUUUGAUUCACAAUUGUUCUGUUCUUUAGGUUAUGUCUCCCUCUUCCUCUGCCUUUGUAAUGUUUGUUUGUUUGGGUUUUUUUUUUUUUUUUUUUUUUUUUUUGCACUUUGCAUUGUUUCUCCAACUUCUUCAAUAGUGGUGUUAAUUUGUAGAUGAAUUGUCUCAUUCUUCGUAUGUGAUAUUUAUAUAUACUAAAACCCAAACUCGGGUGGCACUGUUCUAGAGCAGUGUGCUUCCUUUUUUGCCCCUGCUUGAUUAGUUUAAUUGCAUUUGUGCCAUGUUUCACACGUGUUGGUCAUCGUGCUCCCUUCUUUUUGUUUUUACUCUUCCAUACUCUUCUGGUGUAUUUUAACCCUGGUAUCCAAUAGAAGUGUCUCGACUUCUUCCUCAGAAAUCGCAGAAAUCCAAAAAGGAAAAAACUGUGCUCUUCAACCGAUUAGCAAUUUCGAUUCCGCUUCGUGAGAUCUGUCCGAUCUUUGCUUCCUCAUCUGUUCAAUCUCUUCGACGCGCCAUCGUGCUCCCAAUUUAGCCUUUGACAGGAAACAUUGGUCUUCGAAUUUUAAGGUUUUAUUGUACAGGCUUGCAAGCCCUUUCUGGGUGAGGAAACGUUACCGUUCGAAUUUUAUGGUUUUUGUAUAGAAGUUUGCAGGCCCCUUCUGAUUAAGAUGAUGAAGAAUAAAAGAAUUUAAAUGCGGCUUUGGAUGAUAAGUUGAUGUUGAUGACAAGUACUAUUGAUGAUACCCACCGUUUCUCAUCUGUUCUAAUGCUGCAGUGAAAAAUUUCUAGGAAAAACAAAAGGAGGUUGAGCCCAUCUACAUAGGGAGUCGAAAGAAAAAUUAAACUCAACAACUAGAGAAUGAGAAUGCGUCUGAUGAAAAAUAGGAAAUGAACACAUAUAAGGUUAUGCCACAAGGUGGACUUAAAAAGGAUCAAGUAUGCAGGGGAAUGGUAGGAUCAACAUAUCAAAGGUCUGCACGUAUACUGGUUGAUGAAAAGGAUUAGUGUCAAUGUACACCUUUCCGCAACUAUUUGUUUUGUCUUUUUCCCUCACUCUGUAUAAUUUUAGUCAAAUUGAACUACUUUUUAAAACUUGAGAUUUAACUGAAGUGCUAAGAACUUGGUUAAAUGAAAGUUUACUUUGGUUUGAUGACAUU